rnacentral:rRNA from 1 species
UACGUAGGGUGCAAGCGUUGUCCGGAUUUAUUGGGCGUAAAGCGCUCGCAGGUGGUUCGAUGCGUCGUGCGUGAAAGACCCCGGCUCAACUGGGGAGGGUCGUGCGAUACGGUCGAACUGGAGGCCAGUAGGGGGAUGCGGAAUUCCGGGUGUAGUGGUGGAAUGCGUAGAGAUCCGGAGGAACACCAGCGGCGAAGGCGGCAUCCUGGACCAACACUGACGCUGAGGAGCGAAAGCCAGGGGAGCAAACGGG